rnacentral:rRNA from 1 species
AACGUAGGAGACAAACGUUAUCCGGAGUUACUGGGCGUAAAGCGCGGGCAGGCGGUCUGACAAGUCUGAUGUGAAAUCUCCGGGCUUAACCGGGAGAGGCCAUUGGAAACUGACAGGCUGGAGGGCAGUAGAGGUAGGCGGAAUUCCGGGUGGAGUGGUGAAAUGCGUAGAGAUCCGGAGGAACACCAGAGGCGAAGGCGGCCUACUGGGCUGCACCUGACGCUGAGCCGCGAAAGCCAGGGGAGCGAACGGG